UUUCUACUCCCUCCAUCCGAAAAUACUUGUCAUCAAAAUGGAUAAAAAGAGAUGUAUCUAAAACUAAAAUACGUCUAGAUACAUUUCCUUUUAUCCGUUUUGAUGACAAGUAUUUCCGGAUGGAGGGAGUAUUUG
rnacentral:pre_miRNA from 1 species